UACGAAGGGGGCUAGCGUUGUUCGGAAUUACUGGGCGUAAAGCGCGCGUAGGCGGCUUUGCAAGUCGAUUGUGAAAUCCCCAGGCUUAACCUGGGAACUGCAUUCGAGACUGCAUAGCUAGAGUAUGGGAGAGGGAAGUGGAAUUUCAGGUGUAGCGGUGAAAUGCGUAGAUAUCUGAAGGAACAUCAGUGGCGAAAGCGACUUCCUGGACCAAUACUGACGCUCAUGUGCGAAAAGCGUGGGGAGCAAACAGG
rnacentral:rRNA from 1 species